UAACAGUAUUCAACAUUUUAUGUUUAAUAUAUCAAAACAUUAUUUAUGCAUUUGCAAUUGCAGGUUAAGCAUUCAUGUUCUGCACUAAACAGUGUGUAAACAAAUCUA